UUGUCUUCCCGAGUAGCUGCUCCAUUCCCGGCAUAGAGGAUCAGGAGAGGGGACGCCACCUGCCACACGCUGGAUGCUGGGGUCCGCACGACUGCGGCUUGUGUCGCUGUGGUUGGUGGUGGUGAUGGAAACUGCAGCGUGGCUGGAGUGCAGAAGAGAAACUGUCUUUAAAAUCUGUCUGCCUGGAUAAACUCAAAGGAGCCUUUACAGAAAGCACAUUCACACAGACUGGCUAAUGAGACCCCACACUGAAGAAGCCUAGAACUUCCACAGACUCCCUGAAAUCUAAGUCCUCAUUUUUAACAUACAGCUUUUAAUACUAGCUUCAGAAGUCCCGGAUCCCUGCAAAGUUAAUAGAGUUCCCUGGCCCCUUCUAUGUUGAGACAUGGUGAAAAGGCAGCCUCUAUCAACCAGAAAGCAGACUCUUUUCAGCCACAGGAAGAGAGAGGUUCAUGUAACCUACUUAGGAACAGAGUUUAUUGGUUCCAAAGGCAUGAAGUCAGAGUUGUCAUCAGUUUAUCGGCGGAGAUGCUGUUACUGGGGCAAGUAUUCCUUAGAGUAUUUUAUUGGAAUUAUUACAGCC
rnacentral:lncRNA from 1 species